CUUAGUACCAUUCUCUUAUAAGUAUUAUUGUAUAUCUUUUUUGUGCGCUCUCUUUCACCCUUUUAUAUAAGAAAAUAAAUACUUAAGUUCUUCAGUGCAAAGUCUGUUUCCCACCUUCACAGUGGUGGGUAUCAAAUAUCAGGGUAGAUCACCGUAUUUUUGAUGUUAUUACCACGAUGGGAUUAUAUUGUGUAUCCACAAUUUAAUAUUGAGAAGUUAUCCUAUUAAAAUGAUACUGUGGAUAGUAUAU